UCAAAAAUAAUUUAAUAAAAAUCUCGUUUUUACAAAACAAUAAAUAAGGGCCCGUCCCUUUUUUUGAA
rnacentral:tRNA from 1 species